rnacentral:rRNA from 1 species
GGUAUGAAAUAUUAUUCAAGUUAUUUGAUAUCUGGUUCUCUAAAAGAUUUAAUUAGUUGUAAUUUUAUUAGAUCAAUAAGUAGGGAUUAGCUUAUUUAUUGUUUACAUGCAUUUAUAAGGUGAAUUUGUUUGUGAAGUUGAUAGUGCUUUUUUUUAAGGAGUUAUUAUGAGACAAGGGGUUUAUAUUAUUGUUUUAGGGUUGUGUGGUUAUUAGGGUUAUUUAGAUAAUUUUUUCUUUUGUGAAAUAAUGAUUAUAUUAGUAAUAUUUUAUUUAGUCUUAGAAGUGAAAUUAAGAGAGUUUGAAAAUAACUAAGCUAAUUUUUAAUUAGGGAAGAUGAAUUCGGCAAGGUUAGUUUUUGACUGUUUAGCAAAAACAUUGUUUUUUGUGGAAGUAAAAAAUAAGUUCUGUCCACUGCUAUUAGGUGAAGGGCUGCAGUAUUUUGACUGUAUGAAGGUAGCAUAAUCAUUAGCUUUUUAAUUGGGGGCUGGUAUGAAGGUGAAACAGGGAUUGUCUGUGUUUUCUUUAUUUAUUGAAUUUUAUUUCUAUGUGAAAAAUCAUAGUUAAAUUAGAGGGACAAGAAGACCCUAAUAAGUUUUAUUUUUUUAUUUGAUGAUAAUAUAGGUGUGGCAUUAAUUUGAUUUAAGUAAGGGGAUUUAGCUGGGGCGGCUAUUUAUUUAACAUAAAUAAUUUUUUAAUUUUGUUUGGC